rnacentral:rRNA from 1 species
UACGAAGGGGGCAAGCGCUGUUCGGAAUUACUGGGCGUAAAGGGCGCGUAGGCGGCUUAUCAAGUCAGGCGUGAAAUUCCCGGGCUCAACCUGGGGGCUGCGCUUGAUACUGAUGAGCUUGAAUGCGGGAGAGGAUAGUGGAAUUCCCAGUGUAGAGGUGAAAUUCGUAGAUAUUGGGAAGAACACCGGUGGCGAAGGCGGCUAUCUGGCCCGUAAUUGACGCUGAGGCGCGAAAGCGUGGGGAGCAAACAGG